rnacentral:piRNA from 1 species
UUUUCAAGGAGAGACACUCACC